GACGAACGCUGGCGGCGUGCUUAACACAUGCAAGUCGAACGGUGAAGCGCCUUCCUUUUUGGUGGGUGUGGAUGAGUGGCGAACGGGUGAGUAACACGUGAGUAACCUGCCCCCUUCUUCUGGAUAACCGCAUGAAAGUGUGGCCAAUACGGGAUAUUCUGGGUCUGUCGCAUGAUGGGUCUGGGAAAGAUAUUGUUUCGGUGGGGGCUGGGCUUGCGGCGUGUCAGCUGGUUGGUGGGGUGAUGGCCUACGAAGGCGGUGGCGGGUGGCCGGCCUGACUGGGACAGCGGCCAGGCCCGGACUGCUACGGGGGGCAGCCGGCGAGAAGAUUGCACAGUGGGCGAUAGCGUGAUGCAGCGACGCCGCGGGUGGGAUGGAGGCCUUCGGGUUGUGAAGCUCUUUCGCUAGUGAAGCAGGCCUGCCUCGGUUGUGGGUGAAUUGACGGUAGCUGGAGAAGAAGCGCCGGCUAACUACGUG
rnacentral:rRNA from 1 species